UCUUUCUGGACCUCAGGACCUGUCUUAACAUCCUUGGACAAAGACAAGUGACUCAUACCAGUGGGAGAUGAUUUAUAAACAAAUUUAUCAAGUAUAGGACUUACCUUGGCCUUCUCUUGAAAAAUCGGUUUGUCUGAUUUUUCUUUGUGUCUGGCCAAAACUAGGCUGACAAGGUUCUUCUUCUCCAUGGCCUUUGGGACCUCAUAAGGUUGGUAUUU
rnacentral:lncRNA from 1 species